rnacentral:tRNA from 1 species
GGGGUUGUGGCUCAAUGGUAGAGCUCUCGCCUAGCACACGCGAGGCCCUGGGUUCGAUCCUCAGCACCA